CACGCAGGCGGGUUGUUAAGUCAGAUGUGAAAGCCCCGGGCUCAACCUGGGAACUGCAUUUGAUACUGGCAAACUAGAGUAUGAGAGAGAGAAGUGGAAUUCCACAUGUAGCGGUGAAAUGCGUAGAGAUGUGGAGGAACAUCAGUGGCGAAGGCGACUUCUUGGCUCAAUACUGACGCUCAGGUGCGAAAGCGUGGGGAGCAAACAGGAUUAGAUACCCUGGUAGUCC
rnacentral:rRNA from 1 species